UAACGGGGGGCUGCAGUGAGGAAUAUUGCACAAUGGGGGGAACCCUGAUGCAGCAACGCCGCGUGGAGGAUGACGCAUUUCGGUGUGUAAACUCCUUUUAUAUGUCAAGAAAAUGACGGUAGCAUAUGAAUAAGCACCGGCUAACUCCGUGCCAGCAGCCGCGGUAAUACGGAGGGUGCAAGCGUUACUCGGAAUCACUGGGCGUAAAGGACGCGUAGGCGGGUUGGAAAGUCAGGUGUGAAAUCCUACAGCUUAACUGUAGAACUGCACUUGAAACUUCUAAUCUAGAGUAUGGGAGGGGGAGAUGGAAUUAGUGGUGUAGGGGUAAAAUCCGUAGAUAUCACUAGGAAUACCUAAAGCGAAGGCGAUCUCCUGGAACAUUACUGACGCUAAGGCGUGAAAGCGUGGGGAGCAAACAGGAUUAGAUACCCCUGUAGUC
rnacentral:rRNA from 1 species